CGCUAUGGUUCUAUUUUGUUGGUUUCUAGGACCAUCGUAAUGAUUAAUAGGGACGGACGGGGGUAUCAGUAUUCAGUUGUCAGAGGUGAAAUUCUUGGAUUUACUGAAGACUAACUACUGCGAAAGCAUUUACCAAGCACGUUUUCAUUAAUCAAGAACGAAAGUUAGGGGAUCGAAGAUGAUCAGAUACCGUCGUACUCUUAACCAUAAACUAUGCCGACUAGGGAUCGGGUGUUGUUCUUUUAUUGACGCACUCCGCACCUUACAAGAAAUCAAAGUCUUUGGGUUCUGGGGGGAGUAUGGUCGCAAGGCUGUAUCUUAAAGGAAUUGACGGAAGGGCACCACCAGGAGUGGAGCCUGCGGCUUAACUUGACUCAACACGGGGAAACUCACCAGGACCAGACACAAUAUGGAUUGAUAGAUUGACAGCUCUUUCUUGAUUUCGUGGGUGGUGGUGCAUGGCUGUUCUUAGAUAGGUGGAUCGAUCCCCUGCCUAUUUGCGAACACGG
rnacentral:rRNA from 1 species